rnacentral:rRNA from 1 species
UAGGGAAUCUUCGGCAAUGGGGGCAACCCUGACCGAGCAACGCCGCGUGAGUGAAGAAGGUUUUCGGAUCGUAAAGCUCUGUUGUAAGUCAAGAACGGGUGUGAGAGUGGAAAGUUCACACUGUGACGGUAGCUUACCAGAAAGGGACGGCUAACUACGUGCCAGCAGCCGCGGUAAUACGUAGGUCCCGAGCGUUGUCCGGAUUUAUUGGGCGUAAAGCGAGCGCAGGCGGUUUGAUAAGUCUGAAGUUAAAGGCUGUGGCUCAACCAUAGUUCGCUUUGGAAACUGUCCAACUUGAGUGCAGAAGGGGAGAGUGGAAUUCCAUGUGUAGCGGUGAAAUGCGUAGAUAUAUGGAGGAACACCGGUGGCGAAAGCGGCUCUCUGGUCUGUAACUGACGCUGAGGCUCGAAAGCGUGGGGAGCGAACAGG